rnacentral:rRNA from 1 species
UACGUAGGGUGCAAGCGUUUAUCCGGAAUUAUUGGGCGUAAAGAGCUCGUAGGCGGUUUGUCACGUCUGCUGUGAAAACUGGAGGCUCAACCUCCAGCCUGCAGUGGGUACGGGCAGACUAGAGUGCGGUAGGGGAGAUUGGAAUUCCUGGUGUAGCGGUGGAAUGCGCAGAUAUCAGGAGGAACACCGAUGGCGAAGGCAGAUCUCUGGGCCGUAACUGACGCUGAGGAGCGAAAGCAUGGGGAGCGAACA